GUCCAGACUCCUACGGGAGGCAGCAGUUAGGAAUAUUCGUCAAUGGGGGAAACCCUGAACGAGCAAUGCCGCGUGAAGGAAGACGGUCCUAUGGAUUGUAAACUUCUGUUGUUAAGGAAGAACGACCCAAGUAGGAAAUGACUUGGGAGUGACGGUACUUAUCAAGAAAGCUCCGGCUAACUACGUGCCAGCAGCCGCGGUAAUACGUAGGGAGCGAGCGUUAUCCGGAUUUACUGGGUGUAAAGGGAGCGUAGACGGAAAGGCAAGUCAGAAGUGAAAACCCAAGGCUCAACCAUGGGACUGCUUUUGAAACUGUCAAACUAGAGUACGGGAGAGGUAAGAGGAAUUCCUAGUGUAGCGGUGAAAUGCGUAGAUAUUAGGAGGAACACCAGUGGCGAAGGCGUCUUACUGGACCGAAACUGACGUUGAGGCUCGAAAGCGUGGGGAGCAAACAGGAUUAGAUACCCCGGUA
rnacentral:rRNA from 1 species